rnacentral:rRNA from 1 species
UGGCGGACGGGUGAGUAAUGUCUGGGAAACUGCCUGAUGGAGGGGGAUAACCACUGGAAACGGUAGCUAAUACCGCAUAACGUCGCAAGACCAAAGAGGGGGACCUUCGGGCCUCUUGCCAUCGGAUGUGCCCAGAUGGGAUUAGCUAGUAGGUGGGGUAACGGCUCACCUAGGCGACGAUCCCUAGCUGGUCUGAGAGGAUGACCAGCCACACUGGAACUGAGACACGGUCCAG